rnacentral:rRNA from 1 species
GAGACAGCAGCAGCCGCGGGAAUACGAAGGGGGCUAGCGUUGUUCGGAUUUACUGGGCGUAAAGCGCACGUAGGCGGACUUUUAAGUCAGGGGUGAAAUCCCGGGGCUCAACCCCGGAACUGCCUUUGAUACUGGAAGUCUUGAGUAUGGUAGAGGUGAGUGGAAUUCCGAGCGUAGAGGUGAAAUUCGUAGAUAUUCGGAGGAACACCAGUGGCGAAGGCGGCUCACUGGACCAUUACUGACGCUGAGGUGCGAAAGCGUGGGGAGCAAACAGGAUUAGAUACCCGUGUAGUCCCUGUCUCUUAUAC